GCGCGGAGUGUGCUGGUCACGCGGCAGGAUCCUAAUGUGCGUCUUGGUCUCCAUCCUCAUUUGCUCUAUGAUCUUCCCACCUUUGCCGAGCAAGCAUCCGACGUGCAUCUUGGGCACGAUGAGUCGUGUGGUGGUCUUCCCCCUGUCCCUGGAGUCCUUGCCCCUGGGCCCAUACUCGCCAUCCUCGUCGCCGUCGUCAGCGUCGGUCUCGAGAAUCCGGCGGUGCACCAUGAGAAGGGCCUCUUGGGCCGGGGAGAACAUGGGCGGGCGGCCGUCUGCCUCGCGCCUCGCGCCGUCCACCGUCUCGAUGACCCGGACGUAGUCGCCCGCGAAGGGCGGGUGCACAGUGACAAGCGCGCCGCUGUC
rnacentral:misc_RNA from 1 species